GCCUGGGUGGCUCAGUCGGUUAAGCGUCUGACUUCAGCUCAGGUCACGAUCUCAUGGUCCGUGAGUUCGAGCCCCGCGUCGGGCU
rfam:Felis catus isolate Cinnamon breed Abyssinian chromosome E1, whole genome shotgun sequence.